CUGAAAACAAACAAACAAACAAACAAAAACAUCUGCAUUUUCACACAUCUGCAGUGCUUUAGAAAAUGUUUACCUUUUUUUUUUUUAUAGAGGAACGUUUCUGUUUCAGACUUAAUUUUUUGGGUGGAGUCAGUUUGGGGGAGGUUGAAGACUCGUCAGUGUUUUUUUUUUUUAAGUGCAGUUGCAGUUCACUUCACAGACAGAAGAGGGCUCUGAACAUUACAUACUGCUGCUUUAAUCAGGGUUUUAGCAGUUAGAGAACUGAGAGAGAGAGAGAUGGCAUGAGAUCCCUAAAGACGUACAGAGAGAAAGAGAGAGAGACAGACACACACAGAGAGAAAACGCAGAGAGAUAGACAAAUGUGAGAGAGACAGACAGACAGAGAGAAACAGAGAGGGACAGAGAAAGACAGUGAGAGAGAGAGAGAGAGAGAGAGAGAGAGAGAGAGAGCGUAUGGGGUUAGUAAAAUCCCUCGUUCCGGAUACCAUCAGCAAUUUUCUUUCAGUCGUUCCUGAAUAAGUUGUUCUUGACUAGCGAUAUUUUCAUAUUUUUUCUCCUUUUAAAUCUGUUAUUAUUUCUUUUUUCGUUCACCACACAAGCUGUCCAUCCCUUCAUCUCUCAAUCUCCUCCUUCCUCUCUCUCCCUCUCUCCCUCUGUCAGACGUGUGCUCUCACACUCGAUCGCUCAGUCUCCCGCUCUCCCCCUCCCUCGUUCCCCAUCCUCACACACACUCUCUCUCUCUCUCUCUGUCACACACACACACACACACACACAUACACACACACACCCUAUCAGCGGAAGGUGCUGGCAGUAGCAGCAGAGGAAGAAGGGAUGCAGGCGUGUGAAUGAGUGAGCGUCCUCCUUCAGCGUGGAUUUACUGAACAAAAGAGGAGCAGCGUCUCUCUUUUUAUUUCUGCUUCCAUCUUUUUUCCUCCUCCGUCUCUCAUCCAUCGGCUUGCUGGUGCUGGUGGUGCUGGUGGUCUUGUUGUUUUUCGAGGCUGGAGGAGGACGGAGGACGGAGGACGAGUGCCCCUGCCUUCUGUUUCCUGCUUCACAUUCGCACUUGUUCAGUGUUUUUUGAGGUCGCCUCCUCCUCGAGGACUGCACUCGUUUUUUUCGUGUUCUCUCUUUCCCAGCGGAGGCCUUUUGUCUCGGUGCGGCGUUGAACGGAGCUAUUGUUGGACACACAGGCCUCGCGCUGCUCUCUCUCUCUCUCUCUCUCUCUCCUUCUCUCUCUCCCUCCGCAGUAUCCUUCCCUCCCUCCCUCCCUCCCUCCCUCUUACUCCAUCCUCUCAUUCCGAGGCACCUUGCUUAAAUCCGGUAUCCAUCCUUCUGUCCAUCAUUCUUAAUGUGUGUUCUGCGGAGUGUGUAUCCCGAUGUUUGGCUUCGGGUCAUCCGGAUUGGCUCAAGCCGAGCCUGUGUGUCGUUCCUAGUGUGUGUGUGCGUGUGUGUGUGUGCGGGUGUGUGUGAAGAAACCAUGCAUCUAGCCUGAUGCCAGGACCGGGGUGCCCCAUUCCAAUGUGGGAGGACUAAAGCGUCACAUUUGCACCCCCCUUCCUCCCUACCCCUUUACCCCCUUGCUCCCUCACCCCCUUUUUGCCCCGUUCCCGUCCUGUCCCCUCCAACGCAACGAUGAAGAAAACGCGCAACCUGCGGCGGGCAUGGCCCGGUCCGGACGGACCCGAUUUGGGCUCCGAUCGCGACAAGGACUACCGGCUCCACAAGCACUUCCCCCCUUCUCUCCCCCCUCUUGCGCCCUACAUCGCUCAAGGUGGGUGCAACUUAUAUUAGCCUAGUGUCCAAAUUUUUUUUUUUUAAAGCCUAUAGUGUAAAUGCUCAUCUAAUAUGUGUGUAUAUAAAAAAUAGAAAUACAUAGUUCUGUUUUUUUUCUCUCUUACACACACACAUUGCUAGCCUGCUAGCAUCCUGGCUUCUAGCUCUAGUGUCUGGGCCUGGUUCUGUUUUUCUCUACUAGAGUGUGUUUGUUACAAAAAAAAGGGGUGUGUGUGUGUGUGUGUGUGUGCUGAUGUUCGUGUCUUUCCUGAAUGAUAUCAAGGUGUAGAGAUAAGAUAAUGAGAGGGGGAAAAAAACAGGAAGCAUACAAGCCCUCAUCCACCAUUUUGGUCCUUGGCUUGGGAAUUACAUCACCGAGGUUGUGGAUAAAAAUUCAAGCUGCCGGCCUCCGUGUUCUCGUCUCAGCUCCUUUUCAUGACUAGGAUGAAAACGAGAGCAGAGAGAAUGAGAGAGAGAGAGAGAGAAAGAUAUUUCAUGAGAGAGAGCGUGAGAGAGAGAGAAGGGGAAGAAAAAUGGAGUGGAGAAGGACCUAGCGUCCGUUUUUUUCCCUCCAUUUUGGUGAUGGCUGCAUCGUCCUGGUGUGUGUUAGCGCAGGACAGUUGGGGUGAUUAGCAUCGGCCAUGGUGCGGUGACGAAACUCCGUGUCAAACGUCACUUCGGUCCGAUAGUGAGAAGGAGGACUGACGAGAGAGACAGAGAGGAAGUGGAGAGUCUGCUCAAUGUCUCUGUUUUCUCUGUGUCUCACUACACACUUGAAAACCAGUCUCCGUUUUUGUUAGCAUAAUGUGCGUGUGUGUGUUAGCAUGUGACGGUGUGUAAGUGUAGUAGUGUGUGUGUGUAUCCUCGUGUGCUGCCAGGAGAGAGGGUGGGUGGAGAGAGUUAGCCUAGCUGACGUCGUUAGCUUACAGGCUAACCCUCUGCGCACUUGCUGCUAGCAUGCUAGACCCAAAGUCGCUGUCGUAGCACAGUGGAGUCUUAAGUAUCAUCGUUUCGUAUUUUGUAAUUUGUUUCUAAUAAUCGUAUCGCUGAGAUUAAUUCGAACGAGAGGAUUUUUGUAGAAGGCAUACGCUCUGUGUUUAGCUUCGUGUAUAAAAUUCUAACAUUGUAACAACAUGUUUACACUGUCUUACUGAUGAGUGUAAUGUUUACUGAACUGGCAACCAAAUAAAAAAAAAUAAUAAAAAAACAGGAUCCAUUUUUAUUGUUUGGGCCUUUGCAGUGUUUCAUUCGAAGCAGUGUGUUUUAGCGCUGAUUAUAAAAAAAAUAUAUUUUAAAGUAUUGUGUUGAAUAAUUUGUCAUUCGGUUUAUCCUGAGGUAAUAUUUUCGUUGUUUUAUGUUCUGUUUUUCGUGCCUGAAAAUCUUCUGCGUCACGUUUCGUUUGUAGCACAUUGGAUCACUUAUCAUAUUAGCACGAUACCAGACUAACAAAUAAAAGAACUGAUGUUAGAAAUAGAUUUUUUUUUUGCACCCAAUGUCAAAUAUUACCUCAGGAACUGCACAGUAACUAGGCUAAUUGCAAAACUGUAAAUAGGGUAAGCCAUGAACCAGCAUUAAGCAAUGCUGCUUUGUGUGUAAACCAUUCUGUACAAUGCUAGUUUGUUUGUUACGCAUUCUCUACAAUGCUAGUUUGUCCAUUUUACAGUAAUGAAACUUCAUGAGGUAAUGUUUCUCUAUGUAAUAUGUAGCUGUUCAGCAUCACUUUGCUUUUGUAGCACAUCAGGUCAACACGUUAGCAUUAUACGAAACCAACAAAUAAUAUAAAACGGAUAUUAGACAGAUGUUUUGACUCAUUGUUCUACAGGAACUUUCAGUCACUAAACAUUAUACAAUGUAUAAAAAAUAUUACCUCAUGACCAUUGCAGUACCAGGCUAAUUACAGACUAGCACUGCUGCAAACAGACGAACUAACAAAUUAGCGUUAUUUAUAUAUAAGUUUAAUUGCUAAAUAAUCACACAGACCUGGGGUGUUGUUUAGCUGCUAAGACACAAAAACAAGCUAUUUAAAAAAAAUUAAACUAGCUUUAACUAUAAAGCAAUUUUGUGGUUAAUCUUUUUACAGUGUGUAUGUGUGCCAUCAAAAAAAGUUUUGAUCUAAUAUUUGAUCAUUUUCUGUCAGAAAAUAUACAAAAUACAAAAACAGCACCUCAUGAAAUGCCAUUAUAGUAAACAGGCAAACAAAUGAACUAGCAUUGUAGGAAGCACUUACACUCAAUCCCUAAUUUUGUAAGUCUUAGUCCUAAUUUGCUGGCCUUGCAUAACACUAAUGUUUUGACACAGUGCGGAAAGUAAUAUGCAACAUUUUGUGUCAUAAAAUAUACGACAUUAGAACAUUACCUCAUGACCUACCAUUUAGUAAAUAACUAAAAUGAACUAGCAUUGUAGAGAAUAGCUAACACACAAACUUGUAUUACUGCAACAAAAAUAACGGAUUAAUUAGCUGGUUUGCCUUUAGCAAAAUUAGCCUAAGAUAAGCCUGGUGUCUUAGCCUGGCUACUUCAGUGCUAGUUCAUAGCUUAUCCUAUUUAUAACAAUAUCAAUUUAUAACAAUGCUAAUAAGUAGCUUUUGUUGUCCUGUGGUGCUAGUUCAUUCGCCAGUUUAUUGUCAUGUUCAUGCUGCACUGCAAUUGUAAAAUGGAAAUUUUGUGACUGAAAUGUUCUGUCCCGUUGCCUUUGUACUAUUAUGCUAGGUUAAUGGUUAGCUUAUUUACUGUAAAACUAGUUUGUUAGUUAGCCUAGCAUAAUAUUAUGCUAGUUGUAGGUUAGCCUAAUUACUAUAAUGCUAGUUUGUGGGAUAGUCUUUUUUUUACCAUAAUGCUAGUUUGUGGUUUAGUCUUGUUACUGUACCACUCGUUAAUAUUUUAGGUGUUUAGUAUGUUAGUUUAUGGGUUACCCAGUUUAUUAUAAUGCUACUUUGUUUACUUUAAUGCUAUCUGGCUUGUUAUUAUAUAAUGCUAAUAUCUCAAUUAGCCUGUUUACAAUAAUUCUAGUUAAUGGGUACCGUUAAUUUUAAUACUAGUUAAAAUGGCUUAUUGUUAAUGUUAGUUUGUGGAUUAGCGUAUUUACUGUAAUGCUGAAUUUUCUGUUAGCCUGUUCACUGGAAUGCUAGCUGGUGGUUAGACUGUUUGUUGCAGUAAAUGUUUUUUUUGUUGUUGUUGUUAUUGUUGUUUUUAAUUGUUAGUUCAUGGAUUAAUCUGUUUAUUAACAUGGUGGUUGUUCCUAUGGACGCUGUUUUUCAGGCUUUCCCUACAUUCACACUAGCAAAUGACUAGACUUUAUUCUCCUAAAGUUAAGUAUUAUGCAGGAAACGAAACUGGCUCGUAUGAUUCCUCAGAUAUCUGCAGUUAGUUCCUAUUUACUGUUUACACAAACAUGGAAGAAAAAUUCAAAAAUCUUAUCCUGUCAUACACAACCUCUCAUUAAAAUGUGUAUAGAGACAAUGCGGCGAGAAAUAAAGCUUGGAAGGGAGUAGCAGAGAUCGUUGGUGCAUCUGGUGAGUGUACGUACCUAGACCAGGUAUCUUGCUAGGACGAAAAUCAAAAACACCAAAUCCAAUUUUCACACUGAUUCAAUUUGUAACUAGUCAGCUUUAAAAGAUCAUAAUAAAGAUCAUAAUAAAUAUCAUAAUAAAGAUCAUUAUAAAGAUCAUAAUAGGAUCAUAAUAAAGAUCAUAAUAAGAUCAUAAUAAGAUCAUAAUUUUUCUAAUCAUAGCUUCUUUUUUGCUAUUCUUGGCUUAGUAGCAUGCUUAGAUCAGCCUUUGUUGUGUGUAUGCGUGUGCGUGUGUGUGUGUGUGUUUUCUGGGUCUCCUUUGUGUAACAUGAAUGCCAGCUGUGUGUACACACUCCUCACCUGUACAGCGGCCUUGUACCUCUCCUCACUCUCUUACCCUUCAUCAUGCCAUUAUUAUUUAUUUUUCCCAUAAGCCUAUUCCCACUGAUCGCUGAGUCAGUUUGCCUUCUGAUAUUCAAAGAAACGUGUGUGUGUGUGCGUGUGUGUGUGUGUGUAUGUGUGUGUGUGUGUGUGUUUAUACAGCAGACAUUUAAUGUAGGAUCAAAUCACUGGUAUUGUGGACGCAUUAUUGUUCGACAUCCUAAUCAGUUAACGAGUGUGUGCUGAGAAUCAGCUAUACGAUACUUUAUGGUAAAUUAUAUGAUCUACGGGCUCAGUAGUAUUAUUAUAUUGUUAUUGUUAGACUUUUUUUAUUUAAUUUAUUUUUUUUACUUUUUGUGAAUCAAAAAAUAUCAUGAGGUGUGACUAUUUCAUUGUGUGUGAAAUUUCAGGCAUAAAUAUAACCAUAGGCUCUUGCUGUGUGUCCAUCUAACACACACACACACACACACACACACACACACACACACACUGUCCCAGCUGCAGUAGAGCCUGUGAUUUAGGCGUGGGAGAAAAAGGAGGCCACGGUGGUGCAUUAAUAGCCGAGCCUCUGUAGUAACACGCGUAAAAGAGCGAAUGAGUGAGUGAGGGAGGGAAGGAGAGUACAAGGGAUAGUGAGGAAGGAGGGAGGGAUGGAGAGAGAGAUGCCAUGUGUGUAACUGCAAUCUCCACCUCCAGUUAGCUACGGUUUAGCUGUCACAUUUAUGGUUUUUGACCUUUUGCAACAGCGGAGACGUCUAAAAACUACGCUUUUCUCUUUUUUCAGCUAAAACAGCAGUCAGAUUAAAACUAAUCAAAUUUACCCGACUGACUGAAGGGGAAAGGACGCGGGAUGUGAAAUACAGGUACUUUCACGUCUCGUGUCCUGAACUUUUGUCUUACUGGUUUCUUACUAUUGAUUGGCUGAAGAAAAUCGGUCUCAUCCAUUGUUCUGUGGUAAAUGUACGUUGUUGUUUUUUGCUCAGAGCUUGCUGGGAGUUUCGUAUGGAAUACUAUAGUGUAUGUAACACUUAAGUUUACAGAAUACUAAAAUGUACAGAAUACUGAAGUCUACAGUGUACUGUUGUUUACAGAGUACCGAAGUACGCAGAAUACUGAAGUGCACUUCAUAUUGUAGUGUAUGGAAUACUGUAGUAUACAGACAACUGAAGUGUUUGUAAUACUGAAGCAGGUCUAAUAUUGUAGUGUAUGGAAUAUGGAAGACUAUGGAAUACUGAAGCGGACAUAAUAUCGUAGCAGAUGGAAUACGGAAGUGUAUGGAACGAUGUGGUGUAGCGAAUACAGGCGUGAGCGGAAGUACUGACACGUAUGGAAUACUGAAGUGUACAGAAUACUGAAAAGUGUAAUGCUGUAGUGUAGAUAAUAAGGUAGGUUAGGGAGUACUGAAGUGUAAGGAAUGAUGACGUGUACACAAUACUGAAGUGUAGGGAAGGACUGAAGUAUGCGGAAUACUGACGUGUACAUAAUAAUGUAGUGCACGGAAUACUGAAGUCUAAGGGGUAAUGAAGCAUUGGGAAUACUGAAGUGUCAGGAAUACUGAAGUAUACAGAAUGCUAAAGUAUAUGGAAUGAUAAAGUAUAUGGAGCGAUGAAGUGUAGGGAAUACUGAAGUGUGCGGAAUACUGAAGUGUAGGUAAUACUAUAGUGUAUGGAAUAUUGAAGCGUAUGGAAUCCUGAAGUGUAUGGAAUACUGAAGCGUAUGGAAUCCUGAAGUGUAUGGAAUACUGAAGCGUAUGGAAUCCUGAAGCGUAUGGAAUACUGAAGUGUAUGGAAUACUGAAGCGUAUGGAAUCCUGAAGUGUAUGGAAUACUAUAGUCUAUGGAAUACCAAAUACAAUUUUUUCUAGAGACUUUUCUAAUACUUUAAUGUAGGUAAUACUGUAGUGUAGGGAAUACUGAUGUGUACAGAAUACUAUAGUGUAGGGAAUUCUAUAUCUGAAAUACUGAAGUGUACAAAAUAUUGUAGUGUAUGGAAUAUUGAAGCAUAUGGAAUACUGAAGCGUAUGGAAUCCUGAAGUGUAUGGAAUAUUGAAGCGUAUGGAAUACUGAAGCGUAUGGAAUACUGAAGUGUAUGGAAUACUGAAGCGUAUGGAAUCCUGAAUCAUAUGGAAUAAUGAGGUGUACAGAAUACUGAACUGUACACAGUAGUGAAGUGUGUGGAAUGAUGAAGUGUAUGGAAUACUAUAGUCUAUGGAAUACCAAAUACAAUUUUUUCUAGAGACUUUUGUAAUACUUUAAUGUAGGUAAUACUGUAGUGUAGGGAAUACUGAAGUGUACAGAAUACUAUAGUGUAGGGAAUUCUAUAUCUGAAAUACUGAAGUGUACAAAAUACUGUAGUGUAUGGAAUACUGGAGUGUGUGUAAUGGUGAAGUGUACGGAAUACUGGAGUGUGUGUAAUGGUGAAGUGUAGGGAAUAAUAUAGUGUAUGGAAUACUGAAGUGUAUGGAAUACUGGAGUGUGUGUAAUGGUGAAGUGUAGGGAAUACUGGAGUGUGUGUAAUAGUGAAGUGUACAGAAUACUGGAGUGUGUGUAAUGGUGAAGUGUACGGAAUACUGGAGUGUGUGUAAUGGUGAAGUGUAGGGAAUACUGGAGUGUGUGUAAUGGUGAAGUGUAGGGAAUACUGGAGUGUGUGUAAUGGUGAAGUGUAGGGAAUACUAUAGUGUAUGGAAUACUGGAGUGUGUGGAAUACUGGAGUGUGUGUAAUGGUGAAGUGUAGGGAAUACUGGAGUGUGUGUAAUGGUGAAGUGUACGGAAUACUGGAGUGUGUGUAAUGGUGAAGUGUACGGAAUACUGGAGUGUGUGUAAUGGUGAAGUGUAGGGAAUACUGGAGUGUGUGUAAUGGUGAAGUGUAGGGAAUACUAUAGUUUAUGGAAUACUGAAGUGUACGGAAUACCGGAGUGUUCCGUACUGUACUGGAGUGAAGCUAUACUGGCUUAGAAUUUUCUAAUGACUAGCGUUAGCUUAAUUUACUGUGGUGCAGUCAUUUGUUAAGGCUAACAUUAGCUCAUUUUAAUAAAUCACUUCCAUUUUGAAUAACGCACUCUCAUGGAAAAGAACUGGAAGCUAAGUCAGAUUUGCAUGUGCUCUCAGCCAUAAUUGUUUUUCUUUUGCCUCCGAUUUGCUUGACUGAGACCCUAUAUGUGAAUUUCUGCCCUCUUCAGAUUGAGUUAUUAAACUGACUCUCCAUUUGACAUCACUUUGAAAAUGUUCCAGAAAAAUACUGACAGAAAUACCAAUCGCCUUUAUUUUUGUCUACGUUAUCAGUAAUGUCAUAAUUAUUUCAACGGUACUUAUGUGAUAAUCUUACAGUCCUCAAUAGACCUUGAGCUUUAAAAAGGCUAAAACAGACCAAAUUUCUUCUACUCAUCGUUUACUCUUGUAUAACGCUUUAGUUUUCAUGUUUGUUAAAUGUAUAAAGAAAGAGUUUCUGAGGUGCAGUCAGUCUGUCACUAAAGCUUAGCUGGAGUCAGACUGCUAAUAUGCUAGCCUUCACAUAUAGCAAACCCAUCUGUAGCAUUCAGCACUUAGCUUUGCUCCAGAUCGCCUCGUUAUUUUUACAUUUACAUUUACAGCAUUUGGCAGACGCCCCUAUCCAGUGCGACUUACAAUUAUCAAACAAUUAUUUUUUAUACAACUGAGCAAUUGAGGGUUAAGGGCCUUGCUCAAGGGCGCAGUCGUGGAAGCUCGACGGUGCUGGUAUUUGAAUUCUCGACCUUCCGAUCAGAAGUCCAGAGUCCUAACCACCGAGCUACCACUUCCUGUUUAGUGAUUAUCAAAUUAAUUUUCAAAUCUCAACACUUCUGUCACUUUAACUCAAAUGACAGGAGAGCACUGUUGCUAGGCAACUGGAAACAAGGACACAGAGCUAAGCUAGCUAAUGGCUGAGCCUCAGGAUUUAGCUACCUAGCAUAGAGCCAAAAGGUCUUUGAUACAGGCAAAGUAAAGGUAUAGUGAGAGUUUAAAUGACACAGAACUAUAAAGAAUAACAACUUUUACCUCAGAUCUGCUAUUACAUUAUUUAGAAAAGGCUCCCAAGAGCUAUAAUUACACUGAAAAUACACUUAGCAUCAACCGCUAACAGAAUUUCCAUGGAUUCUGCCAUAUUGAGAAACGUCACUGUGGGCCAUUUAUGUGUAAUUUUCUUAUAAACACAGUGAAUGCAGGACAAAUCUGAUUUUUUUUUGUUGUUGUUUUAUUUUGUUAUUAACAACAGAUUUGUUUUUAGAGCAUUUCCAUCUUUCCCUAAGUAAAGACCACCUGUAAGAUUUGAUAUCUCCUUCUAUUUUUAUUUUUUCUUUAGAUGUACGCUGUGUUUGUUUUCUUUAAUUAUUCGUUGUUGAAUUAAAUAGUCUAAAAUACCACAUAUGAAGCUGUUCGUGCAUCUUCAUGUGUGUAUAUGUGUAACAUGCGUUGUAUGUGGGUGUGUGUAGCGAGGCCCGAGUGUGUGUUCAGGCUCCAGAGGCUGUCCGGUACCACACUCUUGCUAAAUAUGGAACACACUGCUACUGCAUCUGCCUGGCAGGGACACAACUGAGAAUAGCAGCAUCUUGGGCUUUCUCUUCCGUUUGUACCUUUCAGUUUUGCCUCUGUGUGUGUGUGUGUGUGUGUGUGUGUGCGUGCGUGCGUGUCAGGAUGGCGUGUCUUUCUGCUGCAGGAGGUUUUUUUUUUUACCAAAACAUCUUCAAAACCAGUGACUGUGCGGCAGAUAUGUUUUAUUAAUUGCACUAUCUGGAGGCACUCUGUCCUCAUUACUGUGUGUGUGUGUGUGUGUGUGUGUGUGUGUGUGUGUGAUGCCCAAUUAUGACAGAAAUAUAUGUAAAUGUUGUUAAUGCAGUGAUUUGAAAUAAAGAAGCAAGUUUUAACACUUCACUGGUGUAAUAACGCAAACGGCUGGAGACUGGUAUCGGUUGCAGAACUCAGCAAGUGAUUGGUCAGUACUUGGUUGUGAUGUAGACAGACAGACAGACAGACUGUCAGACAGACAGUGAUUUCUGAUUGGCUGAUAGUGGCCAUGUUUUACGAGUUAUUGUUAGAAAUCCACUUAGAGAUUUAAGAUGCAGAAAUGCAGUAUAGACGCUUCCAGCCGGUGGUGCGAUGAAGCGGAGUUACUGUUAUCACCCUGAAGUUAAUUCUUUUCCUGUAACGUCACGUAGGGAAGUGUUUUAUUCCCUCUUAAAUUUGCUGGUGGUUACAAACCGCAAAAAGUAAACUCUUCUGUCCUGAAGGUGUCAGAAAACACUGACACUGGAGACGUUUCUUUACAUCAACCUUCACCAUACCGACGAUUCCACGUGUUUUUUAGUCCGCUUAUUAUCAGUGGAG
ensembl:lncRNA